rnacentral:rRNA from 1 species
CCCUUAGAUGUUCUUGGCCGCACGCGUGCUACACUGAGUGGAUCAGCGGGUCAGGUUGCGCGAAAGUGUUUCCUAAUCUUUAAAUCCGCUCGUGAUGGGGAUUGACGGUUGCAAUUUUCCGUCAUGAACGAGGAAUACCUUGUAAGCGCGGGUCAUCAUCCCGCGCUGAAUACGUCCCUGCCCUUUGUACACACCGCCCGUCGCUCCUACCGAUUGAGUGGUCCGGUGAGGCUUUGGGAUCUGAGCGGAAAGAGCGUUUCGCUGUUUCUGCCCGGAAAACUCAGUCGAACCUUAUCAUUUAGAGGAAGGAGAAGUCGUAACA